AAAGAAGAAAGUGACGAGUAGAUAGAUGAUAAAUGUAUUGGUUUUUAUGUUGUGUAUGACUUCCUCUUAAAACAUAACAUGUUUGUGAGGGACUAUAGCCCAGGCCUCUUUCUUUAACUGGUGAUUAAUGCAAUUGCAAUGGGCGAAUCACAAAUCAAUAUUGGCAAAUAUUUUUGCCUUGGCUAAUGUCAGAAGCUUGCGCGCUUCUCAACUGGAGAGAACGCACAGGUCCAGUGGAAGUUGCAGGGGUCGCCGAAAUGAAAUUUUGGGCAGUCGGUAGAAAAAAAUGGCUGGGAAGAGACUUGCAGAUUGAAAGCAACAUUUGGCGAGAUCGCAUGCAGUAUGGAUUCAAACUAUACAGCUGCCGAUUAGGGUUUUCAUUUGCAAAUGACAGGCUAGCACCGGAGCAUGGACAGGCUUCGCUUUUGAUCAUGCGCUUUGGCCUUGGUGCAUUCAUCUCUCGCACAAGUCCCUUUGUUCGGCUCUUGUCCGGUAAAUUUGUUGAUCGACAUCAUUCAAAAUGGAGGCAAAGACUUGUGAACUUCAAAAUUCACUCCUUUUACAAAGACCUGUAAACUGUACACUCCUAUUCUUUAAAUGUAAAUUUUAAUGUUAGGUACAAUUCCACAUUUAUCUGUAGUUUUUGUAGCAUGCCUCAAUUAGUUGCCACUACAUAAAUUGAAAUAGCAAUCCUCAAGUGGGCUAAAGGGAUUUAUACUAGAUAGAAAAAUAUAUUGUAUGCUUGAUUGUGAGAUUUGAAACUAUCAUUGAUGACUUGAGAUCUGAUCUCAUUACCAUCAAUAAACUACAUAUAUCCCCUUGCUUGUGCAGAGAAUAUGCGCUUGUCUUGCUUGAUGAACGGUGGUCAGUUUUUGUCAGAAUUUAGAAGUUCCAAGAGCAGAAAAGAAGCCAUUGGAAAUCUCAGCCAUCUGCAACUAAAAAUGUUGAACAACAUUAAAAGUGUUUAUUGUCUACCUAAUCUUACCAAACCAGAACAACUAUGGCUGCCGAGUCUAUGAGAGCAGAUUGCCAUAUUGAAGAACGCUUUGCCCAGCCAAAUACUAUUUAUCAAGGUCUUUGAAUGCAGAAGCUCAAAACAAUCACAAAAACACAAUCAGAAAGCCCAGAAAGCCUACAAAGAAGUUCAGACCAGCCAGAAAAGUCUACAAAGAAAUUGAAUGAGAAAAGGGGAAUAAAAUUAAACAGUUCAUUACCACUACUAGUUUUGUACACAAUUAAUUGACAAACAAUGUUCAGGACAAGUUAUUUCAAUUUCAAUUCCACGUAAAUAUGCUCAAGGAAUAUAUAUACAUAUUUCCUCUUUUUUCUUUGUAAUGCAGUGUUCUGUCUAAGCACCCAAUCAAUCAUUUCUUGCUCGGUUUUGUUC